UAUACUGUCAGGAGGAGGUGUUGUUCCUGGUUGACCUCAUCCUCUUCCCUGUUAUAUGGUCAGUAUACUGUCAGGAGGAGGUGUUGUUCCUGGUUGACCUCAUCCUCUUCCCUGUUAUAUGGUCAGUAUACUGUCAGGAGGUGGUGUUGUUCCUGGUUGACCUCCUCCUCUUCCCUGUUAUAUGGUCAGUAUACUGUUAGGAGGAGGUGUUGUUCCUGGUUGACCUCAUCCUCUUCCCUGUUAUAUGGUCAGUAUACUGUCAGGAGGUGGUGUUGUUCCUGGUUGACCUCAUCCUCUUCCCUGUUAUAUGGUCAGUAUACUGUCAGGAGGUGUUGUUCCUGGUUGA